rnacentral:tRNA from 1 species
ACCUGGCUGGCUCAGUCGGAAGAGCAUAUGACUCUUGAUCUCAGGGUCAUGAGUUCAAGCCCCACGUUGGGUG